rnacentral:ncRNA from 2 species
GGGUGUGGUAGAGGCGCGGACGACAAGAUUACCAUGAAGAAGGUUACGAAGGCCGAUGAAUUCAUGGGAAAGGGAAGUUCGCCGAAGCCCAAAAAUACGUGCUUUUUGGUGCUGGGUCUGUAGUAAAGAGCUACAGGACUGUCAUACGGUGCAAUACUCUAGGCUAUCGUGUGGAGAACUACUCACAAC